rnacentral:rRNA from 1 species
AUACGUAGGGGGCGAGCGUUGUCCGGAUUUACUGGGUGUAAAGGGCGCGCAGGCGGUUUAGUAAGUCAGCUGUGAAAGUCCAGGGCUUAACCCUGGAAUUGCAGUUGAAACUACCAAACUUGAGAUAAGGAGAGGAGAGCGGAAUUCCUAGUGUAGCGGUGAAAUGCGUAGAUAUUAGGAAGAACACCAGUGGCGAAGGCGGCUCUCUGGCCUUACCCUGACGCUGAGGCGCGAAAGCGUGGGUAGCGAACAGGAUUAGAUACCCUGGUAGUCCACGCCGUAAACGAUGAGUGCUAGGUGUUGGGUGUCAAAGCUCAGUGCCGGAGUUAACACAUUAAGCACUCCACCUGGGGAGUACGGCCGCAAGGCUAAA